AGUAAUAGGCAUUUGUGAGUGACACGGACAGUCUUUGGAAGGAAAUUGCCACUGUGGUACUUUCUAUUUCAUUUUCAAGACCUCUUCCCAGCAUUCUUCCACCAAAUUUGCAGCAUAGAAUUUAUCUUUCUUACCACAUUGUGGAGACAGCAGAAACUGAGCAGAGGAGAAUUUCUGAAGCAGCAGAAUUUGAGAGCCAAGAAUAAAUUGGGGACUGACUCUUCUUUCUAGGCUAAUCAUGUGGGACAGAAACAACAGGUCAGAGAGGAGUUAAAUGGCAAGGACUGUGAGAAAGAAGAUGAGUGAAGAGGUGAAAGAAGGGAAGCGAGAGCACCCACAUGAGAUGUGUGGGGCCACACCCUUCUGUGCGGUGCUAGCAACCAGGUGGUUGCUCUGCCUGUCUUUCUGUGGAACAGGGAUGAGAGGAAAGUGAAAACCUGCAAGGCCAAAGAUCCCUUCUUUCCCAGGCAUCAGGUGAGUCUCAGCAGUCCUGUAGACCAAACGACAGUCAGUGUUGGAAUCAAUGCUUCCGACUCCUUUGAGAUGCAACUAGAACUGACCCUGAUUUACUGCCAUCAGCCCGGGUCUACUCUUUUUCUGAAUUCCACACUGCUCAGGGGCUCUCAUGUUUGUUUUGGCCCUUCUCAUUCUCUGCCUUACAUGCCUA
rnacentral:lncRNA from 1 species